CCACACAGGCUUCUCUUCAGAUCUUACAAAUGUUUUGCCUUUUAUUAAAGAUUUCUGUGGAGUAGCAAGUUUACGAGUUUCAAUCCAACCUAAACUGUGACUAUUCUCAGCU
ensembl:snRNA U5 U5 spliceosomal RNA